GUAUUCAUGCCAACGGAGAAGCAUUUUUUUAGACGGCAAUGCGGACACCAAUUUCGUCUGGCUUUGUCAACAGUGCAAGAGCCAUCGCUAUCUAAAUAAUUACAGAUUCGAUUAUGUUAUAUGUAUAUCUAUUUUAUAUCUCAACCAAAUGUUCUUAUGAUAUGCAUACUAAGUGAUACUGACAAUGAGACACGCUGUAUAUUUUAUUACUUUUGUUAAAAACAUAUACAGACUUGUGCAGGUAAACAAGGCGCCGCGACGCACAGAUCUCUUGAAGAAACACGAGCAACCAUCGCAACAAUAAACACCGUAAUGUUUGCCGUAUGAUCGAUCACCGCACACUUUGCAAGACACCGGCGUGGGCAGAGUUCUUCCUAUCGCGAAAAAUAUUAUCAUUCAUCAGAUAGGAAUUUCAGGAAUACCGAGAUUUUACUUCGCAAAUUUUUCACAACUAUUUACAAUUGAUUUUCAUUAUAAAAACCUUACUUAUAUUUGACUCGUGCAUUUGUGCUAUCGAAAUACAAGAUGUUAUCUUUGAUUGAAUAUUUACCCAUUUUUUUUAUAUUUCACUGCAACAGAUUCGAGAACGCCAGAAUCGCAAAUCUGGCCUGAUUUCGACGGAAUGUAAGAGUCACGCGAUGAUCGCAACGAGCGAUCUAACAAUGAGCGAUCGUGCCCGAUCAGGCUCGCGAGCGAAGACAAACUCUUAUGGAACAACGUGUGGAAGACGCUCCCCUGUCCGAGGGAGGUUUAACUCGCAAUGGUGGUGGAAACGAACUUGGGGAUAGACGCGAGAAGACGACUUUAUUCAAUCCAUCGACGUCAUAUACGAUACGGAAAAGAAGAGACGUCCGCUUUAUUAUAAUUAUCCGAAAUUUAUUUGGAAGAAAAAGAAACGCUCUGAUAUAUUCAAUAGUCUACUCUGCAGAAUUCGGAAGGAAACGCAACUUUCCUCGUCUUAAGUGGAUAAAAUUAUUUAUUGCGCAUCGCAAAAGUAAGUUAUAGAGGAACUAUACACAAAGAUUCACAUUCUCUUGAUU